CUCUGCUCUGCAGCCUUGCUUUGCAACCUCUUGUGCAACCUUGCUCCGCAGCCCUAUUCUGCUGCCCUGUUCUGGAGCACGGUUCCACAGCCUUGCUCUACAGCCUUGAUUUGCAACCCUGUUCCGCAGCCUUGCUCUGCAUCCCCCAUCCCUGUGCCACAGCUGUGCUCCGCAGCCUUGCUCUGCAACCCUGUUCCGUAGCUUUUGGUCUUCAGCCUUGCUUUGCAGCCCCAUUGUUCAGUCCUUCUUUGCAACCUUGCAACAGUCUUGUUCUGGAGUCCCGUCCUGCAGCCCUUCUCUCGAACCCUGUUCCACUGCCUUGCUCUGCAGCCCUUCUUUGCAACUGCUGCUGCGCAACCUCGCUCCACAGCCUUGCUCCGCAUCCCAGUCCCAUAGCACCUUCACUGUGCAUCCUCGUUCCACAACCUUGGUUUGCAAUCUCACUCUACAUCCCUGUUUUGCACCCCUAUUUUGCAUCCCUGCUCUCACCCCCAUUCUGCAGCCCUGCUCUGCACCCCACAUUGCAGCAGGGCAGGAUGAAGCUCCCAGGCCUGGAGAUGAUCAUUGCUGCAUCCCUGGGGACACUGUCCUCAGACCCCAAGACAGUCCCAGACCCUGGGAUGUCCCCAGCCCCUGCAGCCCCCUGGGACACCCCCAGCCCCAGGUUUGCUGACCUCAGGAAAGCAGCUGUGGGGACACACAGGGAACGGAGCACCCUCCCUGCACUCUGGAAGCAACUGCUGUACGUGGCUGUCCCACAGCAGCUCUGCAGCCCAGCAGCACCAUAACACCUUGGCUCAUGAUCACCGAGAGCCAGGGGCAGGGGACCUGGUGCAACCAAAGCAGAGCUGCCCGUGGGGUCUGUGCCUGCGGGAUCCCUGCACCCAGCAGCACUGCAGCUCCACACGGGCCCUGCGCUGCUCGGAGCGAUUGGGGUAUUAAUGAAAUUUAUGAGUCAGAGCGAGCGAGAGAAACUGUUUUCAGCUGACUUCACUCACCACUUCCUCCCCACUGCUCGGCUCUGCUGGCAGCCCACUUAUCUUCCCCUGGAGCGCUGCCCACCUCCUCGGCCCCGAUACGCCCCUAUCGCCGCGCCCCGAGCGCUCAGCACCGGCGCUGAGUUUGCUCACUCACUCACUCGAGCACUCUCAAGUUGUUCUCUG
rnacentral:lncRNA from 1 species